GGUGUUGUGGCGUAAUGGUAUCGCAGUAGAUUGCUAAUCUAUCCUACGGAAACGUAGUCCGGGUUCGAUUCCCGGCAGCACCG
rnacentral:tRNA from 1 species